rnacentral:lncRNA from 1 species
ACCAUGUCGUCAAUAAUUCUAAAUCGAGAAAUUUUAUUUUGGCCAGGAGCUGAAGUUGGUUGUUUAGUAGUAGUAGUUUGAGUAGUGACCGAAGUAGUAGUCUGGUGUGUGGGUGGGGCAGCUGUGGUCUCUGGUGGAGCUGAGGCGGAUGAUGGGUCUAGGGUAGUUGCAGAAGGUGUGGGUGGGGCAGCUGUGGUCUCUGGUGGAGCUGAGGAAGAUGGUGGAGCUUGUGUAGUUGCAGAAGGUGUGGGUGGGGCAGCUGUGGUGUCUUGUGGAGCUGGGGAAUUCACUGGUGCUAAUGUAGCUACAGAAGAGCUUGUGUUAACAUUUUCUCUUGAAGAUAUGGUGGUGGCAUUCUGGGGAAGAAAAGUCACAUUUGGAAGGGUAG